ACACCAGUUCUCGUUCGAUCACCACAGUUAAGCAAGGUCGAGCUUGGUCAGUGCCUUGAUUGGGGACAGCUUGGGAAUACUAGUUGCUGUAAG